UGGCAGAGGAGACGGAAGAAGAGGAGUAUGGUACACGCAUGUAUCACUUUGGAGAGCAUGUGGCACCGGCAAGACAGAGCAAGAGCUUGACUGAACCUCACAAGAACAUAAGCAUACUUCAGAGCUGGAACAAGAAGCAAGACAAGCUUCUCUCCAAGUGUUGGAAGACGAUCAAGUCUCUGAAGUCAAUGCUAAGCUGCACAUCUUCCAACACCGCUGUGCCA
rnacentral:pre_miRNA from 1 species